GAUGAACGCUGGCGGCGUGCCUAAUACAUGCAAGUCGAGCGAACAGACGAGGAGCUUGCUCCUCUGACGUUAGCGGCGGACGGGUGAGUAACACGUGGAUAACCUACCUAUAAGACUGGGAUAACUUCGGGAAACCGGAGCUAAUACCGGAUAAUAUAUUGAACCGCAUGGUUCAAUAGUGAAAGACGGUUUUGCUGUCACUUAUAGAUGGAUCCGCGCCGCAUUAGCUAGUUGGUAAGGUAACGGCUUACCAAGGCAACGAUUCGUAGCCGACCUGAGAGAGUGAUCGGCCACACUGGAACUGAGACACGGUCCAGACUCCUACGGGAGGCAGCAGUAGGGAAUCUUCCGCAAUGGGCGAAAGCCUGACGGAGCAACGCCGCGUGAGUGAUGAAGGUCUUCGGAUCGUAAAACUCUGUUAUUAGGGAAGAACAAAUGUGUAAGUAACUAUGCACGUCUUGACGGUACCUAAUCAGAAAGCCACGGCUAACUACGUG
rnacentral:rRNA from 1 species